rnacentral:rRNA from 1 species
CGACCGGCGCACGGGUGAGUAACGCGUAUCCAACCUGCCCUUUACUAUGGGACAGCCCGUCGAAAGGCGGAUUGAUACCGUAUGUUGUCAUGUUGAUGCAUAUUUUCAUGACCAAAGGCUUCGGCCGGUAAAGGAUGGGGAUGCGUCUGAUUAGCUUGCCGGCGGGGUAACGGCCCACCGGGGCGACGAUCAGUAGGGGUUCUGAGAGGAAGGUCCCCCACAUUGGAACUGAGACACAGUCCAAACUCCUACGGAAGGCAGCAG